rnacentral:rRNA from 1 species
AUGAAUGUCAUGGUCAAGACACCGAAUGACAAGAUAAUGACUACUGAGGUUGAGGGAGAAGAUAGCAUAUACGGUGUGAAGGUAAAGAUUUUCAAUGAAACUGGUGUUCCCCCAGGCAGACAAUGUCUCAUCUAUGCUGGGAACGUAAUGGAGGAUGGCCGCACCUUGGUUGACUAUGACGUGCCCAAUGAGUCUACCAUUUAUCUUGUGUCGCGCCACAUGCGCAUCUCUGUCAGGACGGUUAGCUGGAUGAAAAUCAUUGAGCAUGCGUUUAUGCAAUCACAGACCAUUGACGACAUCAAAGCGUGGAUUUACUGUGAGAUGGGCAUUCCCCCGGAGCAGCAACAGCUCUCUGACCCGGGGGGCGCCCCCCUGGCUGAAGAGAUCUUGUAUUCAUGCACCCUUGUCCUGCAGAUCCGUCCUCCCGGUUUUCAGUGA